rnacentral:rRNA from 1 species
AUUGAACGCUGGCGGAAUGCUUUACACAUGCAAGUCGAACGGCAGCACGGACUUCGGUCUGGUGGCGAGUGGCGAACGGGUGAGUAAUGUAUCGGAACGUGCCCAGUCGUGGGGGAUAACGUAGUGAAAAUUACGCUAAUACCGCAUACGAUCUAUGGAUGAAAGCGGGGGAUCGCAAGACCUCGCGCGAUUGGAGCGGCCGAUAUCAGAUUAGGUAGUUGGUGGGGUAAAGGCCCACCAAGCCAACGAUCUGUAGCUGGUCUGAGAGGACGAGCAGGCACACUGGAACGGAGACGCGGUCCAGACUCCUACGGGAGGCAGCAGUGGGGAAUUUUGGACAAUGGGGGAAAGCCUGAUCCAGCCAGUCCGCGUGCAGGAUGAAGGCCCUCGGGUUGUAAACUGCUUUUGUACAGGACGAAAAGGGUUCUACUAAUACUGGGAGCGCAUGACGGUACGGUAAGAAUAAGCACCGGCUAACUACGUGCCAGCCGCCGCCGUAA